AAAGAAAUAUAAUAAAGAAGCUUCUAACUUCUUGUAGAGCAUUAUUACUGUUCAUAUU
rnacentral:tRNA from 1 species